GGUAACCACAUCUGAAUUCUCUCUCUCUUUAGUUCAAAGGGUAAAAACAUUACGAUUAUUUAUGAGGGCGGUCAGCUUUUUUUUUUUGUACACUCAAGAAGGUGGACAGUGGGCCGUGCCUUGCAUUAUACACUUCAUGAGCAAGCAAUCGGAUGCGAAAAUGUUCCCUUGGCAAAGAAUUUGUAGCAAAAAAAAAACAGCCAAAAUGAUUUAUUUCCAGAACGUGGGAUAGCAUGAAUACAAUGGACAAGACGGUGUUCUCAGUGUGAGCUCGUUUUCAUUUGGACUUCUAGCUCAUAUCAGAAUGCAAAAGCUGUAAGAUAUUUUUAUAUAUGUAUUUUUUUGGAAAGCAGAAAAUACGCAUCGAAGCAACGGCUUCUUUGCUGAGUUGACACUUGGCUCUUUGUUGCUGUAACACAACCGCUUCCCCCAUAAGCAGUUAAAAAAGAUUGGAUUCCCUGACGCAGCAACAGCACAAGAGAAAGCACGUAGAAAAGCAGAGUUCAUUCAUGUCAGUGUAGGUGCUCUCAUUUAGUUCAUAACUUACUCUGAGAUGAAGACAGGACUGCAUGGCCUGACUCCCAGCAUAAAAUGAUUGUGAUACUCGCAAACUGUUUUCAAACCAAGUGGACACCAGGACAUUCCCUUACGUUACCCUUACAAUACUAUCAGUGUUUACACACCAGAAAAGAAGCACUGGUAGAAGCAGUCCAUCAGAAUGCGGUCUGAUGAUGGCAGAGUUUCUAGCUAGGCACGGGUCAUCACCAGCUAAAGCUGAUGAAAUCUCAGGAUGCUUCUGAUACCCCACAUUAGUUCAUUACUGGUUUUUGAUGAUCCCUUGUGACAGAUCACCAGCCACCCUUACGGUGGAAUUAUAAGGCUGGAAGAUUUCUUUCUUCCAACUGUUGUGAUUUACUAAAGACUGUCGAAAUGCUUAGGGGUCAGCAUAGCUCACAGACUCAGCACAUAAAUUAAUGGUGUAACAAACUCCAAAAUGAAACGUUGCUUGUAUGAAGAACACAAGGCAUGCUUUGUGCAUGCUGCUUCUGAACACUGCAGGACACUGCAACCCUGUGAGAGAGACAGAGAGAGGGAGAGGACUGAUGUGAAAGAAAGAUAAUUUGCUAUGAAGAUUGUUAAAAAGUCUUCCCAAAACAAUCCAAAGAAACUGUUGUCAGCUGCUGUUACACCAUAAAGGGAGUCAGAGACAUCCGCAUGGAUAGGCUGAUUGGAUUCAACCACCAAAAACAUUCCUUCUUUCCUAAAUUUAUAUGAGAGUGGAAUAAAUGCUUCUUCUGAAUCUCAUGAUUAGUUCUAGAUAUUCAAGGCCUUCUUAUAUUGAGUCUUGCAAAAAACAAAAAAAAAAAGAACAGGAGAAUGCAAGAAGAUAUGUUGUCUGAGUCUUAUAGGCUGCCAAGAUAAACUUGUCAUUACAUUUUGAAUUCUUAUUUGCCUGUGAAAGAAAUAUAUUUCAUUUGAAACUGAGUCAAUAUAAAUGGACUGAAGCUGGAGAGUUCAGGCAUUAAAUGUUGCGAUUUAUGGAGUACCACAGAGACUAUAUAUAAAAAACUGUUAUAGUGAAGAAUCACAGCAAAUACUCUUGGGACACAGUAACUUUCAGAUAAUUGUUCAAAUACAGAACGAUUACACUGUUUUUUUCACAUGUAUAAAACAGAGAUAAUAAUUUGUUGAAUACUAUAGUACUAUGGGUAGCACAAAUAAAAGCUGAAAACUGAAAAUGA